GAUGAACGCUGGCGGCGUGCUUAACACAUGCAAGUCGAACGGGAAACCUUUUAUUGAAGCUUCGGCAGAUUUAGAUUGUUUCUAGUGGCGGACGGGUGAGUAACGCGUGGGUAACCUGCCUUAUACAGGGGGAUAACAGUCAGAAAUGACUGCUAAUACCGCAUAAGCGCACAGAGCUGCAUGGCUCGGUGUGAAAAACUCCGGUGGUAUAAGAUGGACCCGCGUUGGAUUAGCUAGUUGGUGAGGUAACGGCCCACCAAGGCGACGAUCCAUAGCCGGCCUGAGAGGGUGAACGGCCACAUUGGGACUGAGACACGGCCCAGACUCCUACGGGAGGCAGCAGUGGGGAAUAUUGCACAAUGGGGGAAACCCUGAUGCAGCGACGCCGCGUGAAGGAAGAAGUAUCUCGGUAUGUAAACUUCUAUCAGCAGGGAAGAAAAUGACGG
rnacentral:rRNA from 1 species